CAUUCUAACCUUGCUGGUGAUAACAACAAUCAACAUCUGGUGACAGAUCUACAAUUACAUUUUGAAAUUAACUGCAAAAUAGGAUUUAUUUGGACAAAUGGUUUUUCAAACUGGCAAACCUAUCCUGUCGCUUCAACAGUUUAUUUUGAGACAAGAGGUGAAAAAACUGUAUAGGGAAAUUUUCAGAACUAUAAGGAGAGUACCUGGAGAAAGUCAUCAAAAUGAGUUGAAAGAAUGGGCGAGGAGGGAUUUUCGAUCCAACCUUAAUGUGACAGAUGAUAUCACGAUACGUAUGCACAUAAAUUAUGGAAAACGCUGUUUGAAAGAAUUGCAAAACAGUUUGGAUUUGUCAGGUUGAACAUAUACUAUACACUUCUAAUGAAAUUUUUUUGAGUACUAUUGUGUAUUUUGUGGCCUAGGAUUUAUCUCUGUCUACCAUCUGUUCGGGCGUUUGACAGUUGGUGCUAAAAAAGUUAAAAAUGGCAGGAACAGGUCCAAAACAAGCUGAUACACCACUAGAAUUAUUAACAAAUCAUGGAACAGUGAAGCCACCUUUUCUAUACGAUGUUUGGGGUUAUCUUGUUGGUGGUGUUCUAGGUUUUGGAGGUGCUCUUUAUGGAAAUUAUG